rnacentral:rRNA from 1 species
AGGAUGGACUCGCGUCCAAUUAGCUAGUUGGUGAGGUAACGGCCCACCAAGGCGACGAUUGGUAGCCGGACUGAGAGGUUGAACGGCCACAUUGGGACUGAGACACGGCCCAGACUCCUACGGGAGGCAGCAGUGGGGGAUAUUGCACAAUGGGGGAAACCCUGAUGCAGCGACGCCGCGUGGAGGAAGAAGGUUUUCGGAUUGUAAACUCCUGUCGUUAGGGACGAUAAUGACGGUACCUAACAAGAAAGCACCGGCUAACUACGUGCCAGCAGCCGCGGUAAAACGUAGGGUGCAAGCGUUGUCCGGAAUUACUGGGUGUAAAGGGAGCGCAGGCGGACCGGCAAGUUGGAAGUGAAAACUAUGGGCUCAACCCAUAAAUUGCUUUCAAAACUGCUGGCCUUGAGUAGUGCAGAGGUAGGUGGAAUUCCCGGUGUAGCGGUGGAAUGCGUAGAUAUCGGGAGGAACACCAGUGGCGAAGGCGACCUACUGGGCACCAACUGACGCUGAGGCUCGAAAGCAUGGGUAGCAAACAGGAUUAGAUACCCUGGUAGUCCAUGCCGUAAACGAUGAUUACUAGGUGUUGGAGGAUUGACCCCUUCAGUGCCGCAGUUAACACAAUAAGUAAUCCACCUGGGGAGUACGACCGCAAGGUUGAAACUCAAAGGAAUUGACGGGGGCCCGCACAAGCAGUGGAGUAUGUGGUUUAAUUCGAAGCAACGCGAAGAACCUUACCAGGUCUUGACAUCCGAUGCAUAGUGCAGAGAUGCAUGAAGUCCUUCGGGACAUCGAGACAGGUGGUGCAUGGUUGUCGUCAGCUCGUGUCGUGAGAUGUUGGGUUAAGUCCCGCAACGAGCGCAACCCUUAUUGCCAGUUACUACGUAAGAGGACUCUGGCGAGACUGCCGUUGACAAAACGGAGGAAGGUGGGGAUGACGUCAAAUCAUCAUGCCCUUUAUGACCUGGGCUACACACGUACUACAAUGGCGUUUAACAAAGAGAAGCAAGACCGCGAGGUGGAGCAAAACUCAAAAACAACGUCUCAGUUCAGAUUGCAGGCUGCAACUCGCCUGCAUGAAGUCGGAAUUGCUAGUAAUCGCGGAUCAGCAUGCCGCGGUGAAUACGUUCCCGGGCCUUGUACACACCGCCCGUCACACCAUGAGAGCCGGGGGGACCCGAA